rnacentral:rRNA from 1 species
CCUACGGGAGGCAGCAGUCGGGAAUUUUGGGCAAUGGGCGAAAGCCUGACCCAGCAACGCCGCGUGAAGGAUGAAGUAUUUCGGUAUGUAAACUUCGAAAGAAUGGGAAGAAUCAAUGACGGUACCAUUUAUAAGGUCCGGCUAACUACGUGCCAGCAGCCGCGGUAAUACGUAGGGACCAAGCGUUGUUCGGAUUUACUGGGCGUAAAGGGCGCGUAGGCGGCAAUUCAAGUCAUCUGUGAAAUCUCCGGGCUUAACUCGGAACGGUCAGAUGAUACUGCUUUGCUAGAGUGCGGAAGGGGCAAUCGGAAUUCUCGGUGUAGCGGUGAAAUGCGUAGAUAUCGAGAGGAACACCUGAGGUGAAGACGGGUUGCUGGGCCGACACUGACGCUGAGGCGCGAAAGCCAGGGGAGCAAACGGGAUUAGAUACCCUUGUAGUC